UACGUAGGUGGCAAGCGUUGUCCGGAAUUAUUGGGCGUAAAGCGCGCGCAGGCGGUCCUUUAAGUCUGAUGUGAAAGCCCACGGCUCAACCGUGGAGGGUCAUUGGAAACUGGGGGGACUUUGAGUGCAGAAGAGGAAAGCGGAAUUCCACGUGUAGCGGUGAAAUGCGUAGAGAUGUGGAGGAACACCAGUGGCGAAGGCGGCUUUCUGGUCUGUAACUGACGCUGAGGCGCGAAAAGCGUGGGGAGCAAACAGG
rnacentral:rRNA from 1 species